rnacentral:tRNA from 2 species
GGACCUGUGGCGCAGUGGUAGCGCGUAUGAUUCCAGAUUAGGCAGCGGCCAAUCAAUUGGACUACCAUAAGGUCAUCCGUUCAAUCCGGGUUAGGUUCA